rnacentral:lncRNA from 1 species
CCCCAUCCGAACCUUCCUGCAUUGGACUUUGUGAUCCAAUCCCUCUAGGUGAUUGCAUUUCUAACGAGCUUCUCAAUCGUCUGUUGCUUCACAGCAAAUUAAGAACCAAGAGUAACAGCUCGAUAACAAACUUUGAAACAAACUUCUCUUCUUUGUUAAGUUCAUCAAUCCUAUGCGCUUAAUGAACUUAAAGGUGCCACCUGCAGAAAAGAAGCCACGGUUAGAAGAUAUAUUAUCACAACAAGCACGAGCGAUAGUACUCAAAUUUCUUGCUUGAAUGCAACAGUGCAUCUUUCCGGUACACAUUAAGACGAGUACAUUUUUUCCUGAGCUAGUUUGUCUCAAGUUUGAGAUUGCAUAUCCUGAAUUGAUGUGAUAAUAGGCACGGGAGGAUUUUUAAUAACAUUUACUGCUGCAAUACAGCAGCACCUAUUCGAACAAGCUGAUUAUUAGAUACAGAAGCAUCUCAACUCCAAAUGCUUGUCGAUGGAUGAUUCUUGGUGCACGUGAGUUCCACCGCUUGCAUUGGAAUUUCUCUAUAACUUCCUUCUUUUCCAAUAGCAGACAGUAGGAAACUCCAUGAUGUUUCAAUGAGAAACUUACAGUGGAAGUCCCCUGUGUUCGGUGGCAGAAAAGUCACAGUGCAAGGCAUAGCAGCGGCAUGCCUACUAGGAGGUGAAGUGAGCAUGGAGGAGCCGAGGGCAGCAAUGAAGGGUUCUUGAAGGUAAUCAAGAUGGAAGUAAACCAUGAAACUUGAGAACUAAAAGAAGGAAAACAGAGAGGAAGAAUCAUAGCAGUGAUAUU